GAUAUUUUCAUUUUUCAUUUCCCAAUACCGACUCUUCGGUUCUCUCAAUCUCUCCUCCUUCUCUCUACUUUCUCUCUCUAGAUUCUCUGUGAUAUACUCGGUUAAUCUGAAUAUUGACAUGGUAUCAGAGCCUUACAACGAUCCGAUCAUGUUCAUUUGCAUGUCGAUGUCUCUUUUGAACAUUUGUUUGACGGUUUUUGAGGAUUUAUCUGAGAUCGAAUGGUCGAUGAUGAUUCCGACUAUGAUCGGACAUGGUUCAGAGUGUUUU
rnacentral:lncRNA from 1 species